rnacentral:rRNA from 1 species
AGAUCCAAGAGCGUAUCUUAAAGUUGUUGCGGUUAAAGAGCUCGUAGUUGGAUUUCUGGACAGGACGACCGGUCUACCCACUGGGUGAGCACAUGGCUCGGAUUGGCCAUUUUCUUGGAGAACGCUUCUGCGCUUCGUUGUGUGGAGUGGCAUCCAAGACUUUAACUUUGAGGAAAUUCGAGUGUUUCAAGCGGGCGCACGCCCUGAACACAUUAGCAUGGAAUAAUGAGAUAGGACCUUGGCUCUAUUCUGUUGGUCGCUAGAGCUGAGGUCAUGAUUAAUAGUGAUAGUCGGGGGCAUUCGUAUUUAACUGUCAGAGGUGAAAUUCUUGGAUUUGUUAAAGAUUUGUUAAAGACGGACUACUGCGAAAGCAUUUGCCAAGGAUGUUAUCAUUGAUCAA